UUUUUUAUCUCAAUUUUGAAGGGUCAAUUAAAGUAGCUGAAAGUUUCUUUCUUUAUUUUCACAAAUAAUGCAACUAUAUUAUAUAUACCUGAAUGUAAGUAAAUCAUAAGAUAUAUAGGUGGCAUCCUUUGGGCCACUCUACCCCCUCCUGUUUAAUAACUUGGUAACGGUCGAGAUCCCCACCCCUAAACCAUAUGAGGGGCAGAUCCAGGAUUUUAGGUUAGGAGGGGCGCAAACAUAAAUUUUCUCCGAACAGAGCGAGGCUAAAAAAAUUUUAGGUAAAAUUAUCGGAAUAUUCUUUAUUAAGCUUAGAACAACCCAUGCUUUGCAAAUUUAAGGGCGGUGCACGCCCGCCCCCUCCGACUAAAUCCGCCCCUGCAUAUAUUCAAGUAUAGGACAAUAUAAUAAAUAAAAUGAAAUAUAGGGGGAGUCCCUGGAGUUACCCCACCCCUCCUGUUUGAGAACUUGGAAACGGUCGAGAUCCACACCCCUUAACCAUAUAUAUUCAUGUACGGGACAAUAUAACAAUUCAAAUGAAAGAUAGG
rnacentral:lncRNA from 1 species